CUAAAAGUAAGCAAGGGCGCAUGGCGGAUGCUUGGCUCUCGGAGGCGAUGAAGGACGUGAUAAGCUGCGAUAAGCUGCGGGUAGGUGCAAAUGACCUUUGAUCCGCGGAUUUCCGAAUGGGACAACCCAAUAUCUUGAAGAGAUAUUAUCCUACUAUGUAGGAGGCUAACACAGGGAACUGAAACAUCUUAGUACCUGUAGGAAAAGAAAAUAAAUAAUGAUUCCCCUAGUAGUGGCGAGCGAACGGGGAACAGCCCAAACCAUACAUGUUACGGCAUGUAUGGGGUUGUAGGACCACGUCGUGGGACGACAGUUAGUGAACAGAAUGUUCUGGAAAGUUCAGUCAUAGACGGUGAUAACCCGGUAUGUGAAGCUAACUUAACCCUAGUGGUAUCCUGAGUAGCGCGGGACACGAGGAAUCUUGCGUGAAUCUGCCGGGACCAUCCGGUAAGGCUAAAUACUCCCGAGAGACCGAUAGCGAACCAGU
rnacentral:rRNA from 1 species